AGGCACUGCUAUCGGGUCCGACUAAGCCAUGCAAGUCUACUCCUGCCCUUGCAGGGGUGGCGAACGGCUGAGUAACACGUAGUCAACCUACCCUCGGGACGGGGAUAACUACGGGAAACUGUGGGUAAUCCCCGAUAGGUGAUGGGUACUGGAAUGUCCCAUCACCCAAAACGACCGCGAAUUGGAGCGGUGUCGGCCCGAGGAUGGGACUGCGGGGGAUUAUGGUAGUUGGUGAGGUAACGGCUCACCAAGCCGGUAAUCCCUAGGGGCCAUGGGAGUGGGGGCCCCCAGAAGGGCACUGAGACAAGGGCCCUAGCCCUACGGGGUGCAGCAGGCGCGAAACCUCCGCAAUGCGCGCAAGCGUGACGGGGGGACCCCGAGUGGUGUUGGCCUUGCCAGCACCUUUUGCCGAGUGUAAACAGCUCGGCGAAUAAGGGUGUGGGCAAGACCGGUGGCAGCCGCCGCGGUAACACCGGCGCCUCGAGUGGUGCCCGCGAAUACUGGGCCUAAAGCGCCCGUUGCCGGACCGGUGUGUCUACUGUGAAAUGUUGCGGCUUAACCGCAACGCGUGCAGUAGAUACUACCGGUCUUGGGAGCGGGGGAGGGGAGGAGUACUUCCGGGGUAGCGGUAAAAUGCGUUGAUCCCGGAAGGACUCCCAGUGGCGAAGGCGCCUCCCCAAAACGCGUCCGACGGUGAGGGGCGAAAGCUGGGGGAGCGAACCGGAUUAGAUACCCGGGUAGUCCCAGCCGUAAAUGAUGCGGACUUCGGUGUUGCAUCGCCGCAAGGCGGUGCAGUGCUGUAGCGUAGGUGUUAAGUCCGCCGCCUGGGGAGUACGGCCGCAAGGCUGAAACUUAAAGGAAUUGGCGGGGGAGCACCACAACGGGUGGAUGCUACGGUUUAAUUGGAUACAACGCCGGGAACCUCACCAGGGGCGACGGCAGGAUGAAGGCCAGGCUGAAGACCUUGCCAGACAAGCCGAGAGGUGUUGCAUGGCCAUCGUCAGCUCGUGCCGUGAGGUGUCCGGUUAAGUCCGGCAACG
rnacentral:rRNA from 1 species